UGGGGAAUAUUGCACAAUGGGCGCAAGCCUGAUGCAGCCAUGCCGCGUGUGUGAAGAAGGCCUUCGGGUUGUAAAGCACUCUCAGCGGGGAGGAAGGCGGUGAGGUUAAUAACCUCACCGAUUGACGUUACCCGCAGAAGAAGCACCGGCUAACUCCGUGCCAGCAGCCGCGGUAAUACGGAGGGUGCAAGCGUUAAUCGGAAUUACUGGGCGUAAAGCGCACGCAGGCGGUCUGUCAAGUCAGAUGUGAAAUCCCCGGGCUCAACCUGGGAACUGCAUCUGAUACUGGCAAGCUUGAGUCUCGAGGAGGGGGGUAGAAUUCCAGGUGUGGCGGUGAAGUGCGUAGAGAUCUGGAGGAAUACCGGUGGCGAAGGCGGCCCCCUGGACGAAGACUGACGCUCAGGUGCGAAAGCGUGGGGAGCAAACAGG
rnacentral:rRNA from 1 species